rnacentral:lncRNA from 1 species
GGCAGCGCGACGCCGGGUGGCCCAGCAGCGGGCGGGUGCCGGGGGCGGAAGCGCGGCCACAAGAGGGGGCGAUUCACCGCCGCCCCCCGUGGGACCUGGGUCCUCUACGCGGGACCGCAGGGGCCCCGAGUCGCGGGUUGGGCAAGGUCGCCCGCUCCGGGUCGCUCGGAAGGGUCAUUUCACGGACCGGUCGUCUGGGGCCAGUGCGUCUUGCCCCGCACGGAAGACCCCUCGCUUCGAGGACAGGAAAGCUUUUAAAGUGAGGAUUGGCUCGCCGCGCCUCCCGCAGAGGGGAACGCCGCCCGGACCCGCGCUCCUGGGGCGGGGGCCUCGUAUGCUGGCGUUGCCGGAGCGUCUGCGGCGCUGAAGGCUGCCGAGACCCAGCCACAUCCCCCACAAGCCAGCAGCCCGGCAGAAAAUUACAUAAAAUGCAGCGCUUCGCCGAGGGGGUGCGAGUCGGGGGAGCAGCGCGCAGCUGCGGCUGACGGCUCGGCUGGAUCCAUCCAAGCAUGGACAGGAAAACGGGACUGUGGGGAGAGGGUGGUGCAGACGGGCCGCAGACCCUCCUUAGGAAGAGAAGCCGGAAACUAGGGAGUCAUGUGCAGUUAGAAUCCUCUUGGAAGACUAGUAGGAUGUGAGGUUGGAGAGGUGGACGACGACCAGAAAAUUCCCUUGUCUUGCCAGGCUUCUGACCUAACUAUGAGUUUCCUCCGCGCAUCCAGCCUGCCCUGCUCUGGCCCCUAAAGUACAGCAGUAACACUCAGUGGUGUCCCUGCCUUCCUGGAAUGCGCGUUAACAAUUCUGAUUCUUACUCAUGGCAAUAACCUACACACCACAUAGACGUUAAAUGUGGUUCGGGUCAGACUCUAGGGCAGGACUCACUGCCUGCACCUUGUCUUGGCUCCACCAGCUUGACCUUGAGCAAGUCACAACCUGUGGGUCUCAGUGUUCCUUACUAGUAAACCGUAGGUAAUUCCUCACUAGUAAACAGAUAAUAUUUGUGCCUGUCUCAAAGUUGUGAGGAUUUAAUGAAUUUGUGUUCCUGGUAUACAGUAAGCACCGUGUACAAGUUGGCUUUUAUUUACACCAAAUAGCAAAAGCUUUUAUUUAUUUUGAGACAGGGUCUUGCUCUCAGGCUGGAGUGCAGUGGCGCGAUCUCACCUCACUGCAACCUCUGCCUCCCGGGUUCCAGCGAUUCUUGUGCCUCAGCCUCCCGAGUAGCUGGAAUUGCAGGCAAGCGCCACCACGUCCGGCUAAUUUUUAUAUUUUUAUAUUUUUAGUAGGGACGGGUUUCACCAUGUUGGCCAGGCUGGUCUCGAACUCCUGGCCUCAGGUGAUCCACCCGCCUUGGCCUCCCGAAGUGCUGGGGAUUACAUGCAUGAGCCACUGCGCCUGGCCAAAAGCUUUUAUAUAUAUUUAUAAAUGGACAUAGAUAUCUGUGAGGCUGUCGGGUAUGGUGGCUCACGCCUGUAGUCCCAAGCACUUUGGGAGGCCGAGGCAGGCGGAUCACGAGGUCAGGAAAUCAAGACCAUCCUGGCCAACAUAGUGAAACCCCCGUCUCUACUAAAAAUAAAAAAAUUAGCCAGGUGUGGCAGUGCGCGCCUCUAGUCCCAGCUACUUGAGAGGCUGAGGCAGGAGAAUCGCUUGAACCCCGGAGGCGGAGGCUGCAGUGAACCGAGAUCGCGCCACUGCACUCCAGCCUGGGCGACAAGGCGAGACUCCGUCUCCAAAAAAAAAAAGCUAUUUGUGAGGUAACAAUCUAAAUAUGUUUGAGCUAGUGCAACAGUAAGUUAACUCCUUACAUCUGUUAAUUCAGCAAGCACUAACAAGUGAUGGAGAUUAAAAAAAAAAAAGGAAUGAGCCACAGCUUUGCCAUCAAAGACUUCAGCGUCUCUUAGGGGAAACAGAUGAACAAAGAUUUCUAACAAGAGAGAGAAUAUCUUCCCGAUUCGACUCCCAUAUGUCAAGAGACUCAGAUGUGACUCAUAUUUGCCUGCCAGGAGGAGGAAAAAGAAAUACACUGUCCAGGAGCAACUCCUUAGUGGGUACCCACCAGAAGUGGUCUCCAAACAAGGGUCUCGCUGAUCCCAAAGAUGAAGAGACAAAACCGGCCUUGCUUGCCCCCAAGGUGAGACUUCGGAUCUGUGGUGAGGGAGGGAAAAAUUCCAGCAGACCCAAGAGGAAGGCUACAGAAGAAAGGACAGAAGCGUGGAGAGAAAUUCUAAGCAGGAGGCUGGGGAAGAAGGAAGAGCUUCAGGUCACUGGGUCACCCCACCAGGAGAUAGUCCCCUUGUGGCCUUGAGACUUAUGCAAUGGGCAGAUGCAAUCUGGGUACCUAAGGCAAGGAUUGCCCUUAUUCUGGCCAUGACAUUUAACACCUAAUUGCAGCAAUAACCCCUCUUUUCCACCUGGAGAAAGCUUCCUGGCCCCUCUUUUUCACUUGUGGGUAAGUCUGGCCAAGAGCAGGGUGAAGAAACCCAUAGUCUAACACAAAACCACAUUUUUUAUUUUUAUUUUUUUAAUUGUAGAGACAGGGUCUUACUGUGUUGCCUACACUGGUCUCAAACGCCUGGCCUCAAGCAGUCCUCCCACUUCAGCCUCCCAAAGUGCUGUGAUUACAACACAAAACCACCUUAUC